CACGUAGGAUCCAAGCGUUAUCCGGAUUUACUGGGCGUAAAGCGCGUGUAGGUGGUUUGCUAAGUUGGGUGUUAAAUCUCUCGGCUCAACUGGGAGGUGUCGCUCAAAACUAGCAGACUGGAGGACGGUAGAGGAAGGCGGAAUUCCGGGUGUAGUGGUGAAAUGCGUAGAUAUCCGGAGGAACACCAGUGGCGAAGGCGGCCUUCUGGACCGCUCCUGACACUCAAACGCGAAAGCUAGGGGAGCAAAC
rnacentral:rRNA from 1 species